rnacentral:tRNA from 1 species
CUGCCUGUGGCCUAGUGGGCAAGGUUACAGUCUUGGGAACAUGAGGGUGUAGGUUCAAGCCCAGCUAGGAAUA